rnacentral:rRNA from 1 species
CACGAACCGGGCAAACGUUAUUCGGAAUUACUGGGCUUAAAGGGUGCGUAGGCUGCGCUAUAAGUCGGGUGUGAAAUCCCUCAGCUCAACUGAGGAACUGCGCCCGAUACUGUAGUGCUUGAGGAGGAUAGAGGUGAGCGGAACUAGCAGUGGAGCGGUGAAAUGUGUUGAUAUUGAUGGGAACACCCGUGGCGAAAGCGGCUCACUGGGUCCUUUCUGACGCUGAGGCUCGAAAGCUAGGGGAGCGAACGGG